rnacentral:lncRNA from 1 species
CUUCACACCUGUGAGGCCGAUGCUCAGCAUAUUUCAGAGGAAGCUGGCACCAGGGAUGAGGGAAUCUGCCCAAGCAUGAGUCACCUGGAAUAUUAAACCAGAACCAACACACAAAUGAUCUGUGCAAAGAGGCAGCACCAUUGAAGUGUGUUUGACAGACAGAACUACUGUUUUGAAUCAACCCUCUGAGAUGUCUAAAUCAGCCUGUCAGACUUUGCUCCCUCUAUCACGUUUCCCAAGAAGAGGAUCAGAGAUAAAGAGAAAUAUGGAAAUUUGGAGUAAAAGAAUACUUUCACCACCUUGGACAUUGUCUCCUGCCUUUCUGGACAUCCACACAGCCCUGUGAUAUGCCUUGGAGCUGAGUUUUACCUCUUUGUGUGAUAUUUCUUUCCUGGGAAAGGCUCACACCACCUUGGAGCUUUGCAAUUUCGGCUUGUAGGUCCUCACUUAUAAAUCCAUUCACUCCCAGAGUCUACAUUGAAAUGAUUUCUUUUGCUGUGUCUCCACUGCUGGCUGUAGCCCCUUGAAGGAGGGAGCUGGCUUUACCAUGCCUGGCCUUGCAUAAAGUGCAACCUGAUGCUUAAUACAUACUGACUAGGUAAGCACAACCACUUCCAGAGCUAAUUCCAGCCUUUUCUCCUGCUCCCUGAUAACUCUACCUUCAUACCAGGACAGCAUUCUCAGAAAUCAUUUUAACCACGAAGACUUUUGUUCAAAUGAAACAGAAUAAGUAUAAACUAGAAAAAGUGCAAAUAUAUAGACAACUGUUAUUUUUUCUAAGUAAUCACCCAAACCCUCACCUCAUCUAUUAACCAAAAAC